rnacentral:piRNA from 1 species
UUCUACUGCAUGCUUUGGCUGGGCCUUGUU